AGUGAACGCUGGCGGCAUGCCUAACACAUGCAAGUCGAACGGAAACACAGUAAGCGUUCGCUCCUACGGGUGGCGAGUGGCGGGCGGGUGAGGCAUACAUAGCCAUCUACUUUUUCGUGGGGGAUAACGUAGGGCCACUUACGCUACUACCGCAUACGAUCUACGGCUGAAAGCAGUGGAUCUUCGGACCUUUCGCGUCUCAAUGAGACGAUGCCGGAUUAGCUAGUUGGCGGGGUAAAGGCACACCAAGGCGACGAUGCGUAGCUGAUCUGAGAGGAUGAUCGGCCACACUGGAACUGAGACACGGUCCAGACUCCUACGGGAGGCAGCAGUAGGGAAUAUUGGGCAAUGGGCGCAAGCCUGAUCGAGCCAUGCCGCGUGAGUGAAGAAGGCCUUCGGGUUGUAAAGCCCUUUUGUUGGGGAAGAAAAACUGCGUAAGAAACCACGGCUGUUUUGACGGUACCCAAUGAGUAAGCACCGGCUAACUACGUG
rnacentral:rRNA from 1 species